CACUGUUUCUGAGCUACAAGGCGAUUAAAACCGCGUCUGCGGGGUCUCCCUCGGCAGCGAGGAAGGCGAGGGCGGCGGGGCGGGCGGCGGGCUGACGGGACAGGUGCCGGCUUCCUGGCGGCGCGGGGCCGCCGAUGGCGGGCGGGAGGGCGCCGCCGCCAUUUUGCGGCGCUAAUCCUCGGCGGCCGGCCGUGCCCGGGGCUGGCGGAGCACGGGCUGCUGCCGGCGCCGCGCUGGUUUCCGCGGGUUGGUUUCACAGCGAGCGUUUUGUGCUUAAUUUACGCGGCCGCCUGUGGCGUUCAGAGCAUUAGGCAAGUUGUUUGUAGGGAAGCACUGCAAAUUUAAAGCGGUGAGGAAAUCCAGCGAUUCCCUAUAUCCGAGCCCUGUUUCUGUGAUCAUCAGUGCGGUUUGGUCCACAACAUUUAGUGUUCCUUUUAAGCCUAACAAAGGAAUUUAUUUGCCUUACUCUCCUUCAAAGCCUUUCUCACAAGAGGAAAGAGAAAGCAUCUGUGGAGAAAUGGAACUCAGUACAGUAACUUCUGCAACUCUCCACUAAAAAGGAGAGAGAUGAGCUUUGAGUGGAGUUAGACAGGGGAAGGAGCCCAUUUUUGGAGGCCUGUGGCAUCUGCCUGCUGCUCAAAGUCUGACCAGGACAGGGAUAAGCCUGGCAGAACUCAUUUGAUUCUCAAGCUGUGCAUAUGCACCAAAGAAAGAACAAGUCUUUCCCUAAGAGUGUUCGAAGCUUGAAGCUGACCACUGCAAAGGCCACUUGUCACAUUUACUGAAAAUCAGCCUAUUGAUAUCACAGCUGAAAAUAUAAACUCGACAACCAAAGCCCAUUGCACAACGUGGACUGCGUAAGAGUUAAAAAUAGAUGCGACGUGCCUCCUACCUGCAUAAUAAAUAUUCCCUCAAAAUCCUGAGCAGUAUUGACAAACCACACAAGCACAGGGUCUGACUGCAUGAUCAGCUGUCUGUGUCUACGCUACACCCUGUUAACCACAAGCAGUGUUAGAGCUAAUAUAUCUGCAAUGCAGAAACGGUAGGUGCUGUGCUAUACAGUUCUGAUUAAUUAUAAAAUAUUCCUCUAUCCUCAGAUAUAUAAAAAAAAAAAAUUGGUGGUGAUCUCCUUCAGGCACGGUAUCUGUCAGAUUUACAAAACAUAAAAGCUACCCUAAGUAUACUGACCUAGAUAGCACUAAGAAGACUUAAGCAGCAUACAAGCAUACUCACUGUCAAAGCAAGGAAAACGAAACAAUGAUUGUCUAACCAAACUGAAAGCAACAGCUCACUACCACAGUAUGAAUUCCAAAAUGCUACAUACAGUAUAUGCACAUCUCAUGUUAUUGGGAGAUGCAAAGCUCCUUUGUUUUUUUUUUUUUUUUUUUUUUUUUUUUUUUUUUUUCCCUUCUCAGAGGCUUUUCUUAGCUACGGUUGCACAAUGACAUUCUGACAUCAUGGAGGUCAAUGCAGCUACUAAAGUGCUCUCGUCUUUUUUUUUCUUAAAAAAAAAAAAGAUUUUGAAAUAUUAAACCAUAGCUGAAAUAAUAAUAAUAAAAUCUGCAUCAUCUACUUAACAUCUUUCUUUUACCUUCUGAGAUUAAUGCCACAUGCACAUUGUUCUGCUGAAUAUGUUAAAUUGGUAUCACCCUCUGCAGAGAUUGCAUGAGUGUAAUUGUGGGAAUUAGAUUUUUGCAGAUAAGUAGAAGUGUUAAAAAGGCUUAUUUUUUGGAAAAUUUCAAAAUACAAUGAAACAUUUCAAGUAUAUAAUGAAAAAAAUGCAGAGAAAAAAAUAAAACUGCUUAUUGGAUUUUUUUAAAUGCCUAAUAAACAAAGCUGUUUUUAUUUUCCUUGUCACUAUGUCUCCAAAGGGAGAAUGAAAGUACCAUGCCACAAUUUACUAUGACCUGAAUUAUUUUCCCAGAAGGCUAAACCAUCAUUUGAGGUAAAACAAACCGUAAGACCCAUCUAUAGAGCAAAGUGCCCCACCCCACUUCCAGUGACUUCUCAUAGCUUCCUUCCCUCUACCCCAAAUACCCCAAGCAAAUAUGCAACACUGACCAGAACUGCAAACAUUAAAGUUAACUGUGAAAAUAUUUCACAAAAAAAGGUUUCUUUAGGCAAAUGUUGUUUGCUGUAUGUAUAAGUGAAUAUAAAUGCUUUCUGACCAGCUGCUGAAAUAGACAGAUACUUGUGAGGCCAGAUUUCAUACAGAGAGGCACUAUCUUUCAUCAGACCUGCCAAUACAGCUGAGAAAAAGCAAGUCGCCAAAUUUUCAGGCACAUAUUCUCAUAUUCUUACUUAUGAAUCUGUGUGCCCUAUGAUUUUUUUUUCCUAAAAAAAUGUCUGUUUUUUUUUUUAACAGUGAAAACUAUUGUUAAGUAUUGGAUUAAAUAAGAAAACCACAGCAACAACAAAAGAUUGUUGUGAUACGUACAUAUUGGAUUUGAAUUAGCUUCUUAUAAAAAUAGACGAUCUUGUUUGUUUCCUCUUCUUUCUUUUUUUAAUGAUUAAUAUAGAUAUGUAUUCAGAGAUUUUUCUUUGGAAAAUUAUUUGGCAUUUUAUUCUCUCUCUUUUUACAGUCUGGGAAGGAGAUGAUCCUAACAGUCAGUGCUUUAAAAUAUUCAGAAUCCCCUUCCAUAAAUAGCACAUCUGUCACACAGAAAGGGAACCCAGCCAGCAGAAAGGGAGACUAGACCAACAAAAACAACUGCUAUUCCUAUACAUGAUUACAAAAUAAGUUAGGAUUUAAGUAAUCCUUUAUUUGGAUUUUUUGGUUUGAGCUUUUUAAAUUAAGCUGUCUGUCAGCUGAGCAUGCCAGUGUAUGUUGGCUUAAAAUUAAAAAGAUUGUUAAGUAUGGAAACAUUUUGAGUUUUUUUAAACGUUCAUCUCUUAGUCAAAUAAGACUAUUGGGCCUGACACCCUGUUUAAAACCAUGGCAGAGCUCCUAUAAAUUUCAUGAAGUGAAGUUUUGGAUCUUAUUUAGCAGUCUGUUAGGUUUACGAAUAUUUCAUUACAAUUUGGGAACUAAGUGGUAGGUUUGCUUAAAGAUAAUGGUUUUCAGCAAAAGACAGAUUAGAGCAGCAUCUCAAUAAAUAUAUCUGUUCCUUCAUUCUAGGCGUCAGUGUUCUUAUUCUCCCAGAAAAGUAAUUUUCUGCUAAGGAUACAAGUCAUUUGUGUUGUGUGAUUUAGGGAAUAGCAAAAGCCUGCCAGCAGCGAACACAGCAGAGGAAUCUCACAGUGAACAGGGGAGUGACCUUGUCCAAAUCUUUAUGCAUACCUCUUAUUUCAAUGGGCCAUUUUCAGUGCUCCAGGCUUAUAAUAUUCCAGGCUUAAAUUUGCAAGAAUUUUACUUCAGAUUCUACAUAAUUUUAGUUCAGAAAUCAGAUUCUAGGCCCUUCGUCACUUCAUAAAUAAAUCCCCAAAAAAUUGCUUAUAGGUUGCACACAGUAGGCCUGAUGUUCAAGGUAGAGAUAUAUUCUCAAGGUAGAGAUAUAUUUCUCAGGCAGAAGCUUGGAUUUAAGCUCCAGCCUUAUUUGUGCCAAAACUGUUACAGACCCAAGACUAGGCACUGGCUUUCCUGAUUCUUGACUUCAGAAUUCCCUGCCUUUGCUGGGUCAGGAAUAUGUCAGCCCAUGCCAUGAGAUUGUGUCAGUUCUUUAUUCAAUCAGCUUAGAGUGAGGCUAUUUCAAGUAUCCUCACUGGAUCCUACAGGCUGUUUGCGCUGUGAACGUUUUCCACUUUAAAGCUUCCUACUUGUAAACAUGCUUCCUCUUCCUCUAUUUAUCACCACUCUAGAGCAACAACAUUUAAUCUCCCCUUGCACAUGAUAGUUUAUCUAAAUUGGUGAGGAAUGAAGAGUCCCAAUGUCACUUUGUAUUACAACCUCCACUUUGUGGUAUACCAGUUUUCAGAGAAGGGUCCUAAUCCUCUGUAUAGAUCAUUCGGGUAGCAGGAGCAAAAGUCCCUGAACAGUACUGAUUUUUGUCUGAAAGUAUUGCCACACUGCGUUAUCUUAAGAAGGAAAUACGUGAGUGCAGUCUGGUAGACUGGGAACUAUGCCAAGGACCAACCUUAGAGAGAUAAGGUUGGAAGAAGACUAGCAGGGGAAAAAAAUAUAUCCAUUCAGUUUUAUAUGGAUUGUCUCACUUCUGUUUUUAUUCAACAUGGACCCGUGCUGGACCAAAAGAAUAAAUUGUCCCUCUAGCUAUAGAGGACACCCUGGAUGUGAGAGUUAUGCUCAAUAUAAUGAAUGAAUAGACCUAUGUACAGGUGGGUUCAUUCCCAUUUCAGUACUUAGUGUUUUUUUUAAUUUAAACUGUUUGUCAAAUAAAUGAGCAAUGCAAAACAAAGGAUAGAAUCAAUCCCAGUCUCAAGAAACUGUAGUCACUGCUCUGUGAUACCAUCCCUGCAAAGCAGUGACAAGGGGACAUGAAGCACAGCUGGGAAUGCAGGGUGGGGGUUUUCGAAAGUGCAUACCAGUACUGUCUACAGUCUUUCAACAAACCUGCUCUUGGAAUAACUCUUUCAGCCUCUUAAUUUAGCUGCAUUAAUUACAUUUGUCUCUUCAUUCCACUAAUGUUACUGAAAAAAAAAGAAAAGAAAGAAACAAAAAGAAAAAAAAAAAAAAAGAAAAAAACCCUAUUGAUGAAUAGUAAGUUUGAAGUUCAGAUUACGGAACCUGAAAUCUGCCUUUCUAGAGCCACAGGCAAGCAAUUUGUGUAAGCACGUAGCAAAAUUUGCCCCAAGACUAAUACAGAUUAAAUCAUUUGUGUGCUGACAGUUUUCCCAGACUUUACCACAGUUCCUUCUGUGUCUCUAUAUGGCUGGACAAAUUCUUCCCUUAUUUGCUUGGACAAAAACCAGUUGUUUGCAGUUAUUCCAAUACAUGCUUUACAGACUUCAAUUUUUGAUUGCCAUACACACAUAAACAGGCCAUGAAAAAUAAUGCUUAAGUGAUCUGGGCAGAAGAGAGUUCAAACUCCUGGUAUCCCUGUUUAGAUGGCGAUGUUUUUCAGCACUGCUGAAUUAAAUGAGGAGCAGCAUAGGAAUGCAAUUGUUUUUUUAAAAAAAUAAAUAAAUAUUGAGAUUCUACAAAAAUAGCAGAUAUCUGAGUACUAUAUUCUGAUAUACUGCAUUGUAUCAAUGUGUUCUGAAUCUGUAUGAAUUAGGAAAAAGUGUGGACUUACCUAAACUGAAGAAUCACAGACCAGUCACAUAUUAAGAUAUAUGGAGGUGCUGUCUAUGCUUUUUUGUGAAGCACUUCUAACAGCCACUUACAGUCUAGUACUCUAUAAACUAUAGAAUAAUCUUUAAGGAUUAAAACACCCAGGAUUCACUGUAAACAAGUGAUAAAAGGCAUUUCUUUAAAACCUAAAUCUAUCUGAAGAAUCUGAAGUGAUGACUUUACAGGUUGUAUUUUUGUAUUCUCUGUGUAACAUGACACUCAAAAUGGUUAGCAAUAACAAGUGGCUUUGUCUUACUUUUUCUCUGAAUAGAGCUUUAAUUACCUCUAUUGAUGAGCAUGGUGUCUCCCUCUAAUUAUGCCUCCUAAGACCCUGUUUGCUUUCUGAACUGCUGCCAGACACUAUGCCAAAGGUUUCAAAUUUCUGACUUGUAUCACUCCUGACUAAUUUACCUGAUUAAUGAACUUAGAUAUUGAAGAUUUUUUUUUUACUCUGUCCAUAUCUUUUUUUCUCCGUUUUAAAUGGUGCAAAUCAC